UACGUAGGAGGCGAGCGUUGUCCGGAAUUACUGGGCGUAAAGAGCGCGUAGGCGGUUUGUUGCGUCGGCUGUGAAAUCCCGAGGCUCAACCUCGGGUCUGCAGUCGAUACGAGCAAACUAGAGUGUUGCAGGGGAGACUGGAAUUCCUGGUGUAGCGGUGAAAUGCGCAGAUAUCAGGAGGAACACCGGUGGCGAAGGCGGGUCUCUGGGCAACAACUGACGCUGAGGAGCGAAAGCGUGGGGAGCGAACAGG
rnacentral:rRNA from 1 species